AACGAACGCUGGCGGCGUGCCUAACACAUGCAAGUCGAACGAGAAUGCAGGCUUCGGUCUGCUAGUAAAGUGGCGCACGGGUGAGUAACACGUGGAUAACGUACAUUGUAGUGGGGGAUAACCAGGUGAAAGCUUGGCUAAUACCGCAUGAGUCUGUCGGGACGCAGGUUUUGACAGGGAAAGUGAGCAAUCACGCUACGAGAUCGGUCCGCGGCCCAUUAGCUAGUUGGCGGGGUAAUGGCCCACCAAGGCGACGAUGGGUAGCUGGUCUGAGAGGAUGAUCAGCCACACUGGAACUGAGACACGGUCCAGACUCCUACGGGAGGCAGCAGUGGGGAAUUUUGGACAAUGGGCGCAAGCCUGAUCCAGCCAUGCCGCGUGAGUGAAGAAGGCC
rnacentral:rRNA from 1 species